rnacentral:lncRNA from 1 species
UCUACCUUGCCACAAGAAAUAAAUGAAGUGACAAGCGGUAUUUAUCAAACUUUCAUGUAUUUUAACAUUUCCGUGUUUUGCAAUUUCGUUUCUUUAAUUAAAUGAUUGAUAAUUUAUCGCCCUUUGAAUCGACACGCCAUUUGUACUGUAAACAUCGAAGGUCGUGGAGAAAAUGAAACUACCCCAAAAAUCGAUAUUUGAUGAUUUAUUUCAAUGGUAUAAAGAAUGACAGCUAGCGAAUUUACAGAUCAAUUUUUACCACAGAGGUUUUUUUGGCCUGAUGCAAUGACAUUAAACAGAUAAAGGAUUUUCCAGGAAGGUCUAUACACCACAUGCUGGAUUUUUUGGGGUGAUGAAAGAAAUUCAAGAAAAGUACUCUAUGAAUCUGUGAAUGGGAAUGAAACAAAGGAAUUAAUAAUUAUUAUGUUAUUCUGAUCAUCCAGCUGAAAUCAUGCCUAUGGAAUAGAGUGCAUGUCACAAAUACUGAUAUGAGCAAUGAGCAGAUAACUUCAUGUUGCACAAAUAAGGUCAUAUUUCCUGCCCUUAUGACCUGAAAGAGUUAAACAGAUCUGAUUCAAACUACAAAUGUGUUUCAAAAAAGUAAAACUUAGUCAGCUGUGAGAAAUAUUUGGUAAAAGUGUGUUUUGUUGCCAUGACAGCUGUGAAGUGGUUCGAGAAGCACAAUCUUAAUUGUCCUAACUGUACAGAAUUCAACUUUAUACACUUUCCAAAACUGCAUGCAUGGAAUACUAAGACAUGUCUGUUAUAUGAAUUCUAGUUUAUGUGGGGCAUUAACACAUAACCUUUGGAGGAAACAUCUUUUACAAUCAAAAUUGCCUUGCCAGUGUAGGAAGGAUUUUUCCAGAAAUGGCCAUGACAGAAAACUAUUAAUAUUGCAGAAAAUAUUUGUUACUGGCUAAAUGUAAUGUAUUUUAUUUCAAGAAUUAUUCAUGUAAAUCCAUGUUUUUAAUUGUAUAAAAAGAUUUUUCACAUGAACUUCUCAGAAAUAGCUAAUUUUGUU